GCGCGGUUAGUGUAGUGGUUUAACACGCUCGUUUCCCACCAAUUCUGGAAGACAACGAGUGACCCGGGUUCGAACCCCGGACUGCGCA